AGGGGACAAGGGAAGGAAAGAAAGGAGAAAAAGAAGGCAGCCGGGCACAGGGCGGGUGCACGGGGCUCCCGGGGCUGGACCAGCCCACGGGGGGUCGGGGAACAGCGAAACCCGCAGUGACACUAGCACCAGUGACACCGGCUCCAGUGACACCAGCUCCCAGGGUCUGGGGUGUUUGCUUGGUGCACCCCAGGGCACAACCUGCGUUUUGCUUUGCUGAGCGCCGGCAAACUCGGUGUUCUCGGGCUUUGCCAAGAAACGUGUUCUUCACGGACUGGGGGAUAUCGGGGACGUACCAGGAUGCGAUCAGUUUGACGCACAGAGCCACGUGCUGCAGACAGCACAGCAGCCGGUGCUGAGGAGCUGCCUGGGGUGUCAACCCCCCCCGGUGCGAGUGACACGGACACAGCCGUGUCCCCUGCCACUGUCCCGCCACGGCCCCGACAUCUGCUCACCUCGAAGAGGAUGAGGAAGGCGAGCCGGGCUGCGAAGAUGUGCCAGAACUGGACGGUGUAGCUGUAGUCAUCGGCGUUCCUGUAGUCCCGGUACCUGCGGCACAGCCCCGUCGGUGCCAGCCCAGGGUCCCCAGUGCCAGGGGCUGUGCCAAGGGGGUCCCCGGUGCCAGGGGCUGUGCCAGCGGGUCCCAGGGCAGCACAUGGGCUCAGGCUUGUGCCAGGGCUCAGGGCUCGGGGAGGGGGAUGCUGCUGGUACCUGCACUCCCUGAUCUCGCCCCUGACAAAGCCUGGUAGUGUUUUGGGCAUCUCCGUGUGGGGCUCGAAGUCCUGGACGCGGAAGACGGAGAGGCUGUGGUUGAUGUAGCCGGUGGAGCAGCUGCAGGGGGGAAAUCAUGUCUGGUCCUGGGUCGUGGCCACGCCAGGACUGUGCCGUGUCCCAACCAAGAGCCACAGCUCUCCUGUCUCCUCGAGGACUCAAAGGCCCCGAUGGCUGCAGGGCUCUGCCCAGCCUGGGUGCCAGUCUGCCCACCACGGGGAUGGUGCGAGCAGGAGGCUGGUUGGGCUGCUCGAGACGGUGACAACUGGAAAACCCUCACCUGCUCCCUUUCUCCCCCACCCCACAGCAAGGGACCCCUCAGGCUGCCUCAUGUUCCUUGUGCCAGUGACACCAGGGCAGGCAGAGACACGGCGGGGACAUGGGUGGGACACAGCAGGGACAUGGUGGGGACAGAGUGGGGACAUGGCAGGAACACGGCAGGGACGCGGACUGAGGCCGGGCAGCACUCACUCCAGGCCGGUGCGGUUGCCCAGCAUGCAGGGGCUGUACGUGUACUUGUAGACCUGCAGCGGGAUGAAGUCGGAGGUGAUGGCGAUCACCAGCCCGUUCCCGAUGACAGCCAGGAUGCCAAUGGCCUCCAGGACCUGCAGCCAGAUCCCUGCAGGAGGAAGGGUCGGUGAGCCCCAACAGCUCAGUGCCGCUCUGCCGGGACUGCGAGACCCCGGCUCGGGGAAGGGCUCAGUGUCGGCACCGUUUGCAUGGCAGUGGGUUCUCCUCGCGCCCCAUCUCACCGAUGUCGUUGGCCUUCCUGGGCACCAUGCGCCGGCACAGCCGCAUCAUCUUGAUGGCGUCCAGGCGGAUCUCGAAGAGGUUGUUGCAGAAGGCCAGCAGCGGGGCCAGUGGGAAGGCGGCCACGAAGAUGGUGGUGAAGCUGUACUGGAUCACUGCGGGGGGAAUGCCGGGUGCUGGUGUGAAGCCAUCGCAGAGGGGACAUCCCCGAGGGUCCCCACCGCUGUCUGGGUUGGUCCUGCUUUGUGGCUUGUGUCAGAGGGGCUUUGCAUCACUCCUCACCUCCCCCUGCCCUACGUACCCAUCUCCAAGAACUCGUCAAACAAGCUGAAGAUGUUGACCUCGUUGAGGUCGUAGUUCCUCCUCCACUGCCUUUUGCAGGGGUCCUCGGGCUCGUCCUCCUCUCCCAGCAUCCUCCUCCUCUUCUUGGGACGCUGCCGCCUCUUGCGCAGCUUGUGGCGUAUCCAGCUGCGAGGGGAGAGCGGGUUGUGGGGCUGACCUGCUGCCAGCCACAGCCCUGGGGACCCGGGGGCGAAAAGGGGGAAAUCUUGGCCCAGUGAGCAGGAGCGCUCUCUGCAGGAGCUGCGGAGCUGUCCUGUGUGCAGCUUACGGGACGAGGAACUCCAUGACGUUGCUGAUGCUCUGCUUGAGCAGCAUGAUGAUGGCCAUCUGGAUGAAGAGGUCGGUGAUGCAGCCGCUGGGGUGGCACUGCGAAGGACAGAGGGUUGUGUCCCUCCAACGGGACAGCCCGGCCCGGGGGCUGUUUGGCCGAGGCCGGUGCCGCAGUGGGGAGCUGGGGAUCCCCAGGCUGGAUGGGCAGCAGGGGAGGGAGAGCGGGACCGCAGUGCGGGCUCAGGGAGCUUCCCGGCCUGGCCCUCACCUCCUCCAGCCUCCACCUGCCAGCAACGCGCACGUAGUUCCCCGGGUGGCCGUUGAUCCUGCAUAUGGAAGCAGCAGCAGCAAGGUCUGAGUGGUGCUGACCCCGCUGGGUGAGCACCCGGGUGUGGGAUGGAGAGUGUCAUGGAGAGUGUCAUGGGGAGCGUCACGGAGAGCAUCAUGGAGAGCAUCACGGAGAGCAUCAUGGAGAGCACCAUCCUCCAGGCAGGGGGCUUCCCUGCCCACCCACCGUGCCCGUGGGAGGAGUCAUGGCUCUCCCAAGGUCCCGCAUGGGGUCCCUGUGCCUGGCAGGGAGGGCAGAGGGGCUGGGGACAGUUUGGGAUGUUCCCCCAACCCCAGGCUCCCGUCCGGUCCCCCAUCCACCGCUCACCGUCCCAGGAAGAAGGCGAUGUAGAUGAGCGAAGAGAAGUUUGUGAAGAACUGGAAGGUGAAGAUCUUCACAGUGAAGUUGUUCUCCCGCUGGGAGAAGGUCCGUGGCUUCUCUGGAGAAGGGAGCGGGACCCAGGUCGCGGAGCGGUGGGACCGUGCCCUGCUCCCCCUCCGGUGCCCCACAGCUCUUUGCAGGUUGGCAGGGUGUCCCUGCCCCCCCGGAGCCCGCCCUGCCCCCCAGCUCAGCCCCUGGCUGCCCUUACCCAGGUCACACAGAUACAGAGCCAUGCGCCUGUUGACCUGCAGGAGACAGGGACAAGAACAGGUGGGUGGUGGCAAAGCAGGGAGAAGACCCCCGCUGGCCACCCCGUGCCCCCUCCCACCUUGGUCAUGAUGACGAUGGUGAGGUAGUGCAGCACGGCGCCGGUGACCACGGCCGCGGUGUUGGCCUGCUCGCGGAGCAGCUCCACGCUGCUCUGGGUGAACAGGGCCACGGCCACCACCCGGUAGAUGACGAGCGCGUGGGCGAUGCCGAUCAGCACGACGAUCUGUGCCGGAGGGGACGCGCGGUGAGAGCUGUGCGUGGGGGACGUGUGCUCCAUCCACCCGAGCACCCGCAGCCCCUCCAGCCCUGUCCCUUCACCAGAGCUCUGGCCGCGGCCGCAGCUGCAGCCCGUGCUCUCCGGUCAGGGACGAGAGGCUCCCGAGGCAGAGGUCUCCACCUCAACUACUCCUCUAGACUCUCUCCAUUGGCCCAUGAGGAGAAACGAGGAGAUUGAGGGCUCGUCCCCUCUGCUGCCGGAGCACAGCCUUCCGCGGGGACGGGAGGAGGAAAGCACGCGUGUCCCCGGAGCAGAUCCCGGUCACCCCGGCACAUACCAUCAGCAGCGCCAGCAGGAGCACCACGGUGCUGCGGAAGUAGGAGUGCUGGUACCGCCGGGGCUCGUGCUGCAGGUUGUUGAUCAGCUCCAUGGCCAGCUCCUCCUGAGAAAACAGCACCAUGAGAACACGGGAAAGGAAGGAUCCGGCUGAGCUGUGCGGGGGGCGGGAGGUCCUGGGGCUGGUCACGGACAUGUGGGAUGAGCAGCACCAGAGGAGGACGGGGAUGGACACCCAGCCCAGCCCAUCAUCCUGGCAGAGGCCAAGCCCUUGGGCAGCUGGAGGUGACAGCAGUGCAGGGAGGUGACAGCAGUGCAGAGGUGACAGCAGCGCAAGGAGGUGACAGCAGUGCAGGGAGGUGACAGCAAUGCAGAGGUGACAGCAGUGCAGAGGUGACAGCAGUGCAGGGAGGUGACAGCAGUGCAGGGAGGUGACAGCAAUGCAGAGGUGACAGCAGCGCAGGGAGGUGACAGCAGUUGCAGAGAGGUGACAGCAGUGCAGGGAGAUGACAGUAUCUGCUGCACUCUGGAGGGCUCGGUCUCCCCAGGACCGUCAGCGUUGCUUUGCUGUUUGUGUAAGUGUCUCCCUAUAGAUGUUCACGUCUGCAGAAGCCAGCUGGGCCCGGGGUCCCUGUGAGCCGUUUUCUGCAGCUCCGGUCACCCCCUGUCCCGCACAGGGACGCACCGAGCAGGGAAGGUGAUGUCCUCACCUCGUCCUCGUCCCACCGGUACAGGUCCCAGUCGGUGACCACUGUGGCUCUCUGCCGCUUCCACAGCUCCAGGAACACGGUGGCUGUGGGGGGAGCAGGGAGCGCUGUGACACUGAGGGUGGCUCUGGGGACAAAGCCACCCCUCUGUCCCACAGAGCGGAUGGAUUGUCACUGUUCCAGCCAGGCUGGGGCAGACCAGCCCGGACAUGGGCUGCAGGCAGCUCCUCUGCAUCUCAGGGACCGGGAGGACCUGGACGUGCAGCGGUGGGGGCUCAGCCCCUGGGGAUGGGGACGUGGGGCUGGGGUGUCCCUGGGAUCCAGGCCAGCUCUGGUGUCUGUAUGGCAUUUGGCACGAACCAGAGCAGCAGCGGGGCUGUUCUGCUGCGGUGAGCACGGUUACAGGGCACCAGCCGGACACAUUAUUCUGGACUAAUGAAAAAUGCACUUUGGAACAGAGACCUUGUGUGCACCCUGGCACAGCUGCAGCUGCACCUGCACACAUCCAUCCACAGCCAUCUGCAUUGACCUUCCUCAGCGUGUCCCCAUGUCAACCAGCACACAAUGACACGCAGGACCACGUCUGUGACCUGCUCAGCCCAUGGUGUCACAGGUGACAUGCCCAGCCCACACCUGCAGCAAUGUUUGCAGCUGGAAGGGCUGUGGUAAAGCCAGGUGAGAUGUGAAGCUAAUGUGGUGCUGGGGUCCCAUCAGCUCAGAGCCCAGGUCACCUGGGCAGGUUGAUGAGGCACCGGGUGAUCCCUCCCUCCACAGCUGAUAGAAAAGCCCAGGGAGGGGCUGCUGGGGCUUCCCAGGAAGUUGUGGUGGGGAAGGACAAACAACUCUGCAGGGGGACAGGUAAGGAGUGUUUGGGGAGAUGAAGGAAAACCCUGGGGUGAUUGUAUCCCUCGCCCUGUCUGCAGGGGAAGCUGGUGGCCCUGGGAGUGGAAGAGAUGAGGACUAGAGAGCCCUUGCAUGGUGACACCGUGUUGUGUCCCAUUGGAAAGUCCCUGCAUGGUGACACCGUGUUGUGUCCCAUCUUCCUGCAGCUCCUCGCCCCCUGUGCCCCAGUGCCUGCCCCCUCCUCCGUGCCAUGUGUGCUUGGCACCCAGACAUUGUCACCUACCCCAGAUGGCCAUGAACAUGGCAAACAGAACUGUCCCUUCGUUGUCAAUCAUGUGAGUGACCUGGAGAAGAUGGAGGAGGAGUGUGAUAGUGCGGGGGGGGACACCUCUGUGUCCAGGGGUCCUCUUGUCCCCUGGUCCCCCUGAGACAGGUGAUAGGGUUCACCACCACCAAGUCCCUGUGUCCAUCCCUCCCUGCACAUCAUCCCCCUGAGAUAGGGAUGGACACAGGGACUUGGUGGUGGUGAACCCUCCCAUGGUGUGAUGGAGACCACGACCUGGCUCAUUGCAGAGGUUGCUGGAGGGCUCCUGCAUGUUGUGGCCACUUUGCUGGGGUGGCUUUCCCUCCCAGUGACGUGGGGACAGCCUGAACCGGGGUGUCUCCCCAUCCCCACUUGGAAGGGGCCGCCUACCUUGGCAUAGGUGCAGGUGUCGGAGAGGAGCCAGAACGGGCACUUCUGGUCGCAGAGCGGGCACAUGACGGUGUCGUUGGCCUCGCAGAUCUCCUUGCUGCAGGGAGAGGCGCAGAGGGAAGCCAAGGGAAGCCCUGCACAGCUGGGGCUGGUGGGAGGGCUGUGCUGGGGCCCCCGCCUUACCUCACCU